rnacentral:rRNA from 1 species
GACGAACGCUGGCGGCGUGCUUAACACAUGCAAGUCGAACGGAAAGGCCCUGCUUUUGUGGGGUGCUCGAGUGGCGAACGGGUGAGUAACACGUGAGUAACCUGCCCUUGACUUUGGGAUAACUUCAGGAAACUGGGGCUAAUACCGGAUAGGAGCUCCUGCUGCAUGGUGGGGGUUGGAAAGUUUCGGCGGUUGGGGAUGGACUCGCGGCUUAUCAGCUUGUUGGUGGGGUAGUGGCUUACCAAGGCUUUGACGGGUAGCCGGCCUGAGAGGGUGACCGGCCACAUUGGGACUGAGAUACGGCCCAGACUCCCACGGGAGGCAGCAGUGGGGAAUAUUGCACAAUGGGCGGAAGCCUGAUGCAGCAACGCCGCGUGCGGGAUGACGGCCUUCGGGUUGUAAACCGCUUUCGCCUGUGACGAAGCGUGAGUGACGGUAAUGGGUAAAGAAGCACCGGCUCACUACGUG